UACGAAGGGGGCUAGCGUUGCUCGGAAUCACUGGGCGUAAAGCGCACGUAGGCGGACUUUUAAGUCGGUGGUGAAAUCCUGGAGCUCAACUCCAGAACUGCCUUCGAUACUGAGAGUCUUGAGUCCGGGAGAGGUGAGUGGAACUGCGAGUGUAGAGGUGAAAUUCGUAGAUAUUCGCAAGAACACCAGUGGCGAAGGCGGCUCACUGGCCCGGUACUGACGCUGAGGUGCGAAAGCGUGGGGAGCAAACAGG
rnacentral:rRNA from 1 species